CCCCCCCCCCCCCCCAAAAAAAAUCCAAGAUUAUGAUGGAGAUUGACACUUAUUCUGCACAAUAAAACUUUAGAAAAAAAUUAACUUUUUAGACAUGUGAAAGAGGGCAAGAUCAGAAGAUUAACAAUGAAACACUGGCUAGGCCUCACAAGCUAUUUAACACAAACACAAACACUGACUAGGCCUCACAAGCUAUUCAACACAAACUAAUUGCCCUUGUGGUCUACUACUACGUAGCUCAUCCAGUCAAAAUACAAGCAAACAGGAGUCAAAAAAAAAAAAA